rnacentral:rRNA from 1 species
UUGAACGCUAGCGGGAUGCCUUACACAUGCAAGUCGAACGGACUAACUGUCGGAAGUUUCGGAUGGAAGACAAUAAGUAGUGGCGACGGGUGAGUAACGGCGUGGGGAACCUGCCCCGUACCGGGGGACAACAGCUGGAAACGGCUGCUAAUACCGCAUACGCGCAAUGAGGCGCAUGCCUUGUUGCGGAAAAACUCCGGUGGUAUGGGAUGGCCCCGCGUUGGAUUAGGCAGUUGCGGGGUAACGGCCCCACCAAACCGACGAUCCAUAGCCGGCCUGAGAGGGCGGACGGCCACAUUGGGACUGAGACACGGCCCAAACUCCUGCGGGAGGCAGCAGUGGGGGAUAUUGCACAAUGGGGGAAACCCUGAUGCAGCGACGCCGCGUGGGUGAAGAAGUAAUUCGUUAUGUAAAGCCCUAUCAGCAGGGAAGAAAACGACGGUACCUGCACAAGAACGCCCCGGCUAACUACGUGCCAGCCGCCGC